AGAAAAAACAACCUCUUACUUGUGUCUUCGUCUCUCUCUGUGAGGUGCAGGUCCUGUGAAGCAAUCUGCAAAUGAAGAUGCUGAUUCAGAGAAUGCAGGGGUCUACAGCCUGAUCACUUCUGUACCAUCCACAUCUGUACCACCAGGUCCUUUUGAAGAAAAUGGAAAGUCAUCUGAAAACGACAAUUCUGAUACGUACCACGUAUACAGCUCAAUCCCUCAUCCAGACCA